rnacentral:lncRNA from 1 species
CGAGGGUGUUUUGGGGUACGAGGGUGGCGUUUUCUGCGAGUGCGGACAGAGGAUGGCAAGAUUCAUUUCGUGGGGUUGUUUCCCGGGGAGGAGGUUCUACAGGUGCCAGGUAAGUUUUCAUGACAGCAAUUCCAUUUAUUUUUUAUGAUUUUCUUCUUUUAUUUUGGGUCUAAUCUGCUAAGUCUUUUUGUUUGCAUUUAUUUAGGCUGGUCGUGGAUUAGCGGAAUGGUAUGAUCCUCCCUUUUCUCAGUAUGUCACAAAUUUGUUCGGUGACUUGCGAGAUCAUGUGCUGG